rnacentral:sRNA from 1 species
GCCGGGCGCGGUGGCUCACGCCUGUAAUCCCAGCACUUUGGGAGGCCGAGACGGGCGGAUCACCUGAGGUCAGGAGUUCCAGACCAGCCUGACCAACAUGGUGAAACCCCAUCUCUA